GCCUCUCACAACCAUUCUUCACUCCACAAUUAGUUUUACGAGAUUUACGCAUCUCGAAUACACCAAGGAUGGUUGACUGGAAUGUGGACCGCCAAGGCUGGGAAAAAAAGAUCAGGACUACGAGCACGAGUCUGUGAAGACCCCCUGCAGUACCUGCAUACAUUGGCAAAAGGAUUGUCUACAACGGAAUGUACAGCACCAGUCAAGUUGUCUACGUACCCCUUGGGAGCCACGGACCCCUGAUUGAAUACCCUGUUCCAUAUAAAAGAUACAUGCGUACAACGAUGCGUACAAUGAUGUAUAGUAGCUAAGUACUGACAGAAACAUGGAGGAAGUCAUGAGCAGGCUGCAGACAUUGAGUGCAGAUCAACUACGGCAGGAGAUUAUCGGGGCAGGGCUGAAGUGUGGCCCCCUUACCCCCACUACAAGAGCCAUCUUUGAGAGGAAGCUGGCCAGAGCCCUCCUGGAGAAGCAAGGGGGGGAUGGAGGGGUGACUGAUAGAGGUAGCUCCUCCAAUACAGAGUCUAAUGGACCCACAACAAACAGAGUAGAAACUACCCCACAAUCUGGAACUCAAGUCAUCAGCAGAGGAGGGUAAAGAGAAAAAGGAAUUGGAUGAACCAGAAUAUCCCCUUGUUUACUAUGGUGUAUGUCCUCAUUGGGAGGAGUCAGUGGUAGCCGAUGGUAAGACCUCUUUUUGUACUAGACAAAGUUAAUGUAUAUGUGGACUGGAAGAAAGCUCUGAGAGCAAUGAUGACCAUGAAAGGGUCCAGGUUUAAGCCCUUUUCAACACGAGAGGAAGCUGAGAAAUUCUCAAAAUGCAUCAACAACAAUAGCCCUUCAGCCAGCGCUGAGGAACGCUGUGGAGAAGGGGGACAAGGAAGCCUUCAGCAGGCUGGUCUGGGCCAACCCACGCUACCUCAUCGGAUCUGGAGACAACCCCACCAUGAAGGGUGCCAAUACAGUGUCCUGCAUGUGGCGGCCAAAGAGAACCAGUCGGAGAUGGUCCAGCUCCUCCUGGACACUCUGGAGAGUCCAGACUUCAUGAGACCUAUGUAUCCUGAUGACCAGGAGGCCAUGUUACACCAACGCAUCUGCUACCUCGUUGACCUGUACCUCAACACACCUGACAAAGCAGUGAGAACCUCUAUGAACCGUAUUUGUGUUAUACACAGAGCAAUGAAACUCCUCUUCACUUUGCCUGUAAGUUUGGAUGUCCAGAUGUGGUCAAUGUGCUGUGUUGUCAUCCUGCUACUGACAAACAGUGGCAGAACAAGUACAACCAGAAGCCCUCUCAUGUGAUAUGCGAGAGGAAAAACAAAACCCCUGUCAUAGAAAAGAAAAUCAAGGAAUAUUUGAAGGGUGAGUUCCACAGACUAUGGAGAGCUCCACCCAGGGAUCGAGCAGUGUAUUUCCACUGUAUUCUCAAAUCUGACCCUGUGUGGGGAGGGAGAUUGCACAUGACAUGGCGCAUCCUUGGGCAGAGUACUGAGACUUCCUGGAUAGCUUCAUUGACCUGUCUACAGAGGAGGGACUGAGGAGGUUGGAGGAGUAUCUGGAUAGGAAGGACCAGACUGAGCGUCCCCUAGAAGAAUAUGGGAAGACAUAGCAGACUGGUGCUGGAUUAAAAACAUCAACCUCCUCCAAAGAGGAGCAGAGCCAUGUCCUGAUCAACAACACCCUGAAUGACAGAACGUCUCCAUCAAAGGAGAAACGUUCCCAGUCUCCUGUGUGUAAACUCCUGCCAGAGUUUGAGAAAUCCAGCCUAAAGGAUGGCUCUGUCCAAGUGGAGGACCAGGAGGAGGUAAAGAGUGUUGAGGGCCGUCUGGCUCCCUCUGUACCCAGGAAAGAGGGCCUGGACCUGGGGGAUGACAGUUUCUGGAGGACCUGGGAGGGGAGUCAGGUGAAGAGGCAGGUGGAGUAGCUCUCCAACCCCAGCUCAGAGGAUUAUCUGACAGCAGACGAGGGCUCAGACUCUGAGUGCCCAGAUAGUCCCCGAGACAGGAGAAGAGAAAGUAGAGGCUCAGGAUCCUCUAGCGCAUCUUACAAAUCCAUGAAGGGAGACGCUUCGAAAGAAACAAUUCUGACAACCGACACCCCUACAAAACGAAGACAGGAACUGUUCAUGGACGGAAUUUUUCUUGCAGGGAAUCUCCCACCAAGUUAGACAGUGAGGUCCUGUCUGCAAUGAAUAACAUGGAGAUUGACCCUGAGAGAAACCCCUGCAUUACUAAGUGGAGGAACACCAUUAUGGCCUAUCCCUCUUCACAGUGGCUAAGCAGGCUCAGCUUCUGCAGCCCAGGCCCGCACACUCCUGCUCAGAGCUGUUGCACCCAGACCAUCCUCUGCAGGACCCUCUUCCACUCCCCAAACUGGCACAGGGAAACCACAAGAAAACAGGAUGUCACGUCCCAGGAUCUGAAGGUGGUGUUGCACAUACAAAAGGGAAAGUUGGCCAACAUCCUGCACCACCACAGCAGGUCCAUAGUCUAACAACUGACUUUAUAACCCAGGCAGUCCUUAUUUUACCCGUGUGCUGAUUUCCAUUUGUACAACUCUUUUGGCUGUUCUAUGCAAGGCACUGCUCCACUUAACACUAUUACCUUAUCAGGUAGCUAUUCAACAGCACUAAUGCUGCCUGCCUACAUGCAUGUCCUCAAUGCAAGCAUUCUCUUCUGGCGGAUAGCAUAGCUACAGAUUACACAUUCAACUUGAAGUUACCUAAUGGUGUACACUUUUCCCAGUGCCUAUGUAAUGUGUGUGUAUACAAGAUGCUUUAUACAUUAAAUGUUCAAAUAAUGCUUUUGUAUUGUUAAUCACUGUUACCUUAUUCCAGAGAUACAUUUGGAGAGUUUUAAAUUGUUUUAAUUUAUACCUAUACACAAGAAGAAUGAUUAUGGCUGUAUUCAGAUAACCGUUUAUUCAUAAAAUGUAAUAAGCAUGAUCAAAUAAA